rnacentral:rRNA from 1 species
ACACGACUACAUUAGAUACCCGUGGUAGUCCUAGCCGUAAACGAUACUCGCUAGGUGUCGGCCACGGUGCGACCGUUGUCGGUGCCGUAGGGAAGCCGUGAAGCGAGCCACCUGGGAAGUACGGCCGCAAGGCUGAAACUUAAAGGAAUUGGCGGGGGAGCACAACAACGGGUGGAGCUUGCGGUUUAAUUGGAUUCAACGCCGGAAAUCUUACCGGGACCGACAGCAACAUGAAGGCCAAGCUGAAGACUUUGCCGGAUUAGCUG